rnacentral:rRNA from 1 species
CCUACGGGUGGCAGCAGUGAGGAAUAUUGGUCAAUGGACGAGAGUCUGAACCAGCCAAGUAGCGUGAAGGAUGACUGCCCUAUGGGUUGUAAACUUCUUUUAUAAAGGAAUAAAACGAGGCACGUGUGCCUUUUUGCAUGUACUUUAUGAAUAAGGACCGGCUAAUUCCGUGCCAGCAGCCGCGGUAAUACGGAGGGUCCGGGCGUUAUCCGGAUUUAUUGGGUUUAAAGGGAGCGUAGAUGGGUUGUUAAGCCAGCUGUGAAAGUUUGCGGCUCAACCGUAAAAUUGCAGUUGAUACUGGCAGUCUUGAGUACAGUUGAGGUAGGCGGAAUUCGUGGUGUAGCGGUGAAAUGCUUAGAUAUCACGAAGAACCCCGAUUGCGAAGGCAGCUUGCUAAACUGUGACUGACAUUGAUGCUCGAAAGUGUGGGUAUCGAACAGGAUUAGAUACCCCAGUAGUC